rnacentral:lncRNA from 1 species
UUCCACUCAACAGAGUCAGUCCCUGGCAAACUUUAGCCUGCUGUGAGCUGAUCAAGUGUCACAGUGAUCACUGUGUCGUCUGCCCCAAGUCCAGAUCCUUAAAGAGCAGAGAUCAAGAUACCACAGCUUUCUUUGCUGAGAGGCCAUCUUCUUCCCGGUUAGGGGCCAAGAAUACGUCUGCAUCAAAUGAAUCACACAUUUUGACAUAAAUUCAUCCAGGUGUCUGGUAUACGCUCACGUAAACGCCAGCUGAACUUCCAGCUGCCUGAAUCUUAGCAGGAAUAUUUGCAGUUCUCGGCCAUCCUGUAGCUGGUGAGGAGUUCCAACACAUCCACCCAGAAAUCAGACUCCUGAACACCCCCAGCACUUCAGAGUGUUCAGUAUGUUAUGGUCUUUGAACCCCAGGCUGAAUUGGAUACAUCUGUCUUCCAAAGAACUUAAAUUCCAGCCUGAAAAUCGGAGAGGAAAAUAGUGUCCUCACAUUCAGAAGGACAUAUGAGGACCUGGGAGUGACCCUCUUGGACUGAAAGAAGACAUGGCGCCAAUAAGCUUAGGCAGUGAGAAUGCCUUUCGCUGGGCCAAGAGACAUAACCGAACUCGUCAGUUCAUGCAACAGUCAGGAUUGAGGCCAGGCUGCAAAUAUGGGCCUGCCCACCACCUAUGUGGCUACUAGGACAGCGUGGCUGCCAUUCUUCAAGGUGUCAGGCCUUCUGACAAAGUCCGCUUUGGAGAAGGAGCGCUAUGGAGCCCUUCUGGAAGAGUAGAAAGCGUACAGGCACUACGGCCGAAAAGAUGGGAUCCCUCUUGUGCGUGUCGUCAGCUGAGGGAUCCAGGAGAAGCCCCUUAACAUCUCAGAG